AAACCAUGCUUCUGGGGUCCACACGCUGAGCCCUGCUCUCCACCUGCAGCUUGAUCAGAUGCCUGGAGCCUGAAGUGCUCGUGACUCAGGGUUUUAAAGAAACAAGUCCUGACUCUCUGGGUCUGUGCUAUUUCUAAGACUGUGUCUUCAGUAAACAAAGCUGAUGGUUCAGGCUUCUCCCCAGUGCGUGUCCACUCCUUGGCCCUGUGACUGCAUGUUGCUGCAGCUGGCUGCCUUUUCAGAUGUGGCUGUGGGGUCAGAGGCUGCACACGGGGACCUGGCCUAGCUGAGGAAGGAAGGAAGUUCUCAGCAACCACCAUGCUAAAUCCAGCGGUAAGAUUCUUGCAAAGUCCCUGCUGCUCCUGGAGACCUCCUGUGUCAGUUAGGUGCCCUGUGUGUUAGUGGACGCUGGACCAAGGUUUGCUGCGGUACUGGGGAGAUCUCAGCAAGCUGCAUGACCGCAGCGACAUCUCAGGUCAGAUGCUCACUGGACGUCCCUCAGGGGUCACUGCCUGACUGUCUGCACUUCAGGAGGGGUGAACGUGAGCAAGCUGAUACACGGAUGCCAUUCCCACCCCAGCUGUGGGCUGUGUGUUCCCCACCUAGGGCUUGCCACCAUUUGGAUAAGGCCAGAACCAUUUCUUACCUGCAGCCAGGGUCACCUUGAGAAAACCUUCACUCAGGCUCCUUGGUGCUCCGCUUUCUCAUUAGAGAAAAUCUGAAACUUCUUUAACUUACUGACCCAUAAAGACACUUACUAAAUGUCAAGUGUAUUAAGGAACGUUCGUUUUAUGUGUGUGGAGACAUCAUUGCUAGUGUUUUCUCCUUCGAAUUUGACUUACCUUUUGAUUUGUUAUUGAAAAUAAGAUAAAUCUCCUUCUUCCUUGCCACUGAGUUCGCAAACUGACCCUAAUUGCCACAGGAGUGCUGGCUUCUGCCUCAGGGCUACUUCCUCAUUAGAAAAGUGUAUUUGUGAUACAUGACAGAAAUUACACGCCCUCCACCUACCUGACUUUUGUGAAAGUAAAAUUAAGUGUUAUUAGGAAGAACAUCUUCCCUGCUAUGUUCUUACCAUAUUACAUCUUUCAAUACCACAUUCAUAUAAGUCAAAUCUCUCAAAUAUUUAAAUUGGAUUAAUUUAUUCUCAUGGCUCAGGGGCAGGGCUUAAAUUUAUAUGCAAAUGUCACAACUUCUAAAGGUCUGGAUUCAUCUCGUUGUUGGAGUGUGGCUUUGCAUCUCACAGAGUGUGCAUGUCACUCCCUGAAAUACAAAUGACUUUCUCCACUCAUCCUUAGUGCAAUAACUGGACGGGAAUAUCUGAAUUCAUAUACAUGCAUAAGAUCUGCUUUAUAAUUCCGUAUAUUUUGUACAAGAGGGCUUACAAUAGAUAUUACCUUUUACUUUCAAAAUGAUAUCAUAGAUAUCACGAUUAAGCCGAAUAAAUAUCUCCUGGAAUACUGUGAAGCAUUAAUAGAAUCGAAAUAACAAAAUAUUCAUAAAAUAAUGUGCAGAGGAAAGAGUAUUUUCACACAAUUGCUGGAAGGAGGACAUAAUUGUAUACAAAUUGAUUCACCCUUGUUUUGAAACAACUCUGGAAAUAAAAA